UGAGAAAGCUAAUUCCUAACUCUAUGAAAGACCAUAGCUUUGUCUAUUUCAACUGUAGCUCUAAAGAAAACUUUAGUGUAGAUGGGAGCAGAAGGUGUUCAACUGCUGACAAAACAUACCUGCGUAAGGGCUGGUGCCUAACAUCAUUUGAAGAGUCAUUGGAAUACUCUGGAUAGUGG
rnacentral:lncRNA from 1 species